UUGAAACGCCGGUUCUUGUAUGAUCAUUGAAGUUAAGCAACAUUCAGUCUGGUCAGUACCUAGAUGGGUGACCGUUUCUGAAUACCAGGUGCUGUAAG